CCUUCCAGCCGAUUGGGCAGAGCCGCACCCAACCCUAGCCUCCAAUGCUCAACCACCCACUCCUCCCUCUCCUCCCUCCCACAGCCGCCGCACCCCUCUCUCUCUCCCUUGCGUGUGCAUGGCGACGGGAGGGUACGACGCAGGGAAGGACACCGCCGUCGCCCCGUCGCCUAGGAACCAUGUCGGCGCCCACCGCGCGGGUUGGGGCUGGGCAGAAAGCCGGUGCCUGCGUGCCAAAGUAGCGGGGUCAACCGUGGAGGGUGGCUCACUGGCCAGAGCAGCAGGAGCAAGGAGGUCGUUGAGCGGCAAAUGUGGGAAGGGUCGGUAGUGGAGUGAGGCUCGCCGCCCGGAGCAGCAGGAGCAAGGAGGACGAUUUGGUUGAGGGUUCGAGCAGCAGCUGGAUCAUGUAUAUAUUUGCAGGGCAAGACAAGCACAUUAGUUGGAUCAUGAACUUACAGGAUGGUUUCCCCUGCCACAACCAUUGUCAUCGGCCUGCAUUCCCUCGUCAAGCGUGCAUUGGUGCUAGAUAUGCAAGCUGCAACAGCGCAUCAACGGGCAGGCAAGAGCAAGAUGAUGGUCAUGAUUUUUGCCAAGCUGUGGAAGACAAUGUUAACUGAAGCCACUUUUGUUGGUCAUGGAUUUACAAGAAAGCCAGUAGAGUAUGAAAAGGUUCUCAUGGGACUCACCCUGAACUGAAAUCUAUCUUCAACCUUGCUUAAACUGAAAGCAAUGCAUGGUAUUGUUCAAUUUGAAGUGUACUUGAUGUGUGCAGAUCUGAGGAUGAAGGGAAGAAGAUAGACUUUAGCUGAAGAGUUGAAUAAGAUCAAGGUUAUUAUUCCACAAUCAUUUGUUGCAUCCAUUAUGUCUUCACCCAAUCCAUCUCUCUCUUUCUGCUGGCUGCUGCCACACGUGGACGGUAGUGGUUCAUUUUCCUAUAACAUUUGGCAUUUCUACAGUUUUAUCAUGUAUAGCUGGAUCCAGAAAAUGUAGAUAAGAAAUUUUUACAAGAGAAAUAAAGUGCAUAGGUUACGCCUCUUAAUUUUUCUUCAACUGUUUUUGGUAAAAUUGCGUACCUAGGCAUCAGUAUAUUUUGUGACAGGAAUCUGCACUAUGUUCUUAUGCUUUUAGCAAUACCAAUCUUAUUUUGUUUCUUGGUGGAAUUUCUUACCUAGGCAUAAAAUAUGCCAAAAGAAUCUGCACUAUGUUCUUAUGUUUUCAGUAAUGAGCGUCUUGUUUAGAUUCUCGAGGUUUUAGCCCUGCUGACUUCUGAAUAAUUAUUCAUUCAUGAGAUUUGCUGUAGAAUUGCUUACCUAGGCAUAAAAAACGUAAAGAAGCUGAGAUUGGCUGCAGUUUUGAUGUACUUUUGUAAUGUUUUCCUGUUUGUACAUACUUUAUUGGUUUGCUUGAAACUGCGUUUUAAUAUGUGCUUGUAGGCUCUACAGGAUCCAGUGAUGGAUCUGAGUGUCAGCACUCGAGUUAUAAGUUUCUUCUAGCAUGUAGACACACUAAUUAGAUUCAGGAAUUAUUUGGUACAUCUCAGCUUUGCGGCAUCAUGUGUAGAGGGUCAUGUUAAUAAAUAUAUCUGGCCUGCACUUAGAUGUUAUUUUCUUGUAAUUGAUAACUCAUACGAAUUCUGCAACAUAUUGUGCAUAGCGAUACACCUCUACUGAAAUACUACUUUCUUAUUCACAUUUCAAUCCCACACCUAACUUUACAUCAUUUCUAAUCUCAUCUUUUCUCCUGAAUUUUAGUCUGCUUCAGUAAUGUUGUGGCAUGCCGCAAAACAACCACAUUUUUGCUGCUGUGAUUUGGUCCAUCCUGUGCAUUUCAGUUCCUGGUGCUCUCGAACGUUUGUUAGCUAAUGCCACCAGGAGGGCUGCCCACCCAAGACUUGUAAUGUGGGCAUCGGUACUGUCCUUUGACAUAUUUGGAAGUCACAUAAAGAUGUCGUUUCAACUCCGUCAGGUGCCAGGCCAAGGAUGUUACUCAUCGUUGCUGUGAAGACCUUGCGGUGUGGUGUCGGUCGUUCACAUCUUAUACUAGAAUAUAUAAACUGAGCAUCAUGUCUGCAUCCAUGCUAUUUUUUGGUUUCUGUAAUCUAACCACCAAUAGUAUGAUAUAUAGGAUCUCUGGACAAACAACCACAAUGGGAGCAUUGUUUGGUGCAGCACAGACAAUAGCCACUACAAUGAGCAGUGAAGCUGCAAAUUAACAGCUGGAGUAAGGAAAAGGAUCUUGGAGAGUACAGAAUAAUGAAUACAAUGUAUUGUCUAUAGUUCCAACUCCUAAUGUCAACUUAAUGUCUACCUCAUGUGUUAGUGCUUUACAAUGGAUGCGAAAAGGUCAAAAACUGUAACUGAAGCUUUUGUCAGGUUGUAUAAAGAUGACCUUAUUUAUAGGUUAGUAUCCUCAUCUUCCCUUGUUCCAGGUGUUAAGCAUUUGUGUUUUGCCUGUUAAGUAAUGCCAUGGUGUUUUGACAUAAAGCUGUGAGUCAGUGUACUGGUUUAACAGAUCGUAUUGUCAUAUUCACCUUUUCUUUGGAAAUAAAGAAGAAUUAGUUAGUUUUCGGUUUGAAUGUCAGGCAAAAAUCAAAUGGGAGAAGCGACCUGUCAGUCCAGAUUCUAAUUGUUAUUUGGUGUUGAGAUUCAUAUGGCUGAGACAUAAUUUUAACUGGGCGCCUUCAGAUGUAAUCUAUUGCCUCUGACAUGUGAUUUGCUACAAAAUCAUGUCUCAACCAUCUGUAUUUUACAUUACUACUGUAAGCUUCUGAAAUGUAAAUUAUGCUAGGAUGUUUAGUUUUAACUAUGAUAUCCUAAAUGCGCAUGUAAAUACUAAUGGGAUUACGACUAAAAAAAAUCAUGACAUGCGAGCAAUUCUUGGUUGAAAUACCGUGAGCUUAAAUAACAGGAGCUAAACUGUUGUGCUAUGUUCAGAAUUGGUACUAGAAAAGAUAAUCUAAACUGUACAUUCUGAAAGUAUAUUGGACUCUUGCCCUUUUGAAAUUAGUCUUCUAAGUAUUACUUUGUAAUAAAUGACAUGAUAACAUGUUGGUUCAGUUUAAAGCUGUAGGCAGAGGCUUGCGGUAGGGGAAAAUCAUUGCCAGUCGAAAACCAAAACGUUUAUUUGUGAGUAUGAUCAGGACUGUGCUUAUUCUGAAAGUAUGUUACGCUCCUGCUCUUGGGUGAUUAAGCCGUUGUGGUUUUGCUUGGUAAAUAAAUGACAUGCUAAACAUUGGUUGUUAUUUCGGUGGCGGCGACCAAUAAUAUAAUGAAGUUCCUUGCUUAGAUGGUUGGUUAAGUCAUGGGUACAGCAAGGAAAGGGCCAGCAAGAAAAUUAGCCAAUAAGUGGUUGACUGGUUUAAGUAAGUUGAAUCCCUUUGUAUAUGACAUCAGUUUAGUUUCUGCCACGAACCUGUUUAAGAUGCCUCUCAAGCACCGCCCUGAGGACAAGGCGGCUAAGAGGGCUUCUGAAAAAGACCCAGGCUGAGGCUGAGGGGGAAACCGUUGAGGCCAAGCCAAUUGCUCUGAAAUAUGGUCAUAGCCAUGUCACUUACCUCAUCGAGCAGAGCAACCCUCAGCUGGUCGUCAUCGCUCAUGAUGUUGACCCAGUUGACCUGGUUGUGUGGUUCCCAGCCCUGUGUGCAGGAAGUUGGGAGGUCCCAUACUGCAUUGUUAAGGGAAAAUCACACCUUGGAUUAGUAUAUUCUCACCUGUUCUACCCUUCUGAAAUCUGUUACUGUAACUAGGAACAAAUGCUCACCCUCUGUUGAUUGUUCACAAGAAGACCGCCUCUGUUCUCUGCCUUACCACUGAAGAACGAGGACAAGCUUGAAUUCAGCAAAAUCUUGGAGGCUAUCAAGGCUAACUUCAAUGACAAGUUCGACGAGGUCAGGAAGAAGCGGGAGGUGGUGUUUUGUGAAGCUCGCCGUUUCAGAGCCAUAUGAUUUUUUUAUAGAAACAUGAGCAGAGUAAAAUGGGCACAACUUCUGGUACAUGUGAGGGGCUGUGCAGGACAAAAUGUUAUGGAUCCAGAGGAGUGGGAGGGGAGAGUUUAUCAAAAACGCAUCAAGGAGAAAGCGUGACGUGGAUUCCGAAGUUCCAGCUAACAUAGCAAAAUUGUAUAUAGAGAAUGCCUGCAUUUUGCUAUUACAUAGUUUGGGGCUAUGUUUCUUUUAAUUUUUGUUAUUAAAAGGAUCCUUUUAUUAUUGCCAAAUUAUCAAGCAUUUAUUUUCAAAUAACUCUUGGUUUGAAAUGGGACCUUGCUCCAUUUGGCGCAGUGAGUAAUGUUAUAUGUCUUAUUGUAGACAGGAAGCCUCCAUUCUUAUUGUAGACAGGAAGCUUUUGUUCUUUUUCGCUAAGAGUGGUUAAAUUUGUUACCA